rnacentral:rRNA from 1 species
AUGGCGAUUCCCCUCGUGCUCGUCCUGCUCCCGCUCGGCCUCCUCUUCCUCCUCUCCGGCCUCGUCGUCAACACUGUCCAGGCCGUAUUGUUCUUGACGAUAAGGCCAUUCUCGAAGCGAUUGUACCGGCAGAUCAACGUAUUCCUGGCCGAGUUGUUAUGGCUUCAGCUGAUCUGGCUUGUGGACUGGUGGGCAGGUAUUAAGGUACAGGUGUAUGCGGAUCCAGCAACUUGGAAACUAAUGGGCAAAGAGCACGCCCUUCUAAUAUCCAAUCAUCGAAGUGACAUUGAUUGGCUGGUUGGAUGGAUUUUAGCACAGCGUUCAGGAUGUCUUGGAAGCGCAAUAGCUAUAAUGAAGAAAUCCUCAAAGUUCCUUCCAGUUAUUGGUUGGUCCAUGUGGUUUGCAGAGUACCUCUUUUUGGAGAGAAGCUGGGCAAAGGAUGAAAAAACACUUAAAUCGGGUCUUCAAAGGUUGAAAGACUUCCCCAGAUCAUUUUGGCUUGCCCUUUUUGUUGAGGGUACAAGAUUUACUCCAGCAAAACUUUUAGCAGCUCAAGAAUAUGCAGUCUCACAGGGUUUGACAGCACCUAGGAAUGUGCUGAUUCCACGAACAAAGGGAUUUGUAUCAGCUGUAAGUAUUAUGCGUGACUUUGUCCCAGCUAUCUACGAUACAACAGUGAUUAUUCCGGAAGAUUCGCCUAAACCAACAAUACUGCGUAUUCUUCAGGGACAAUCAUCAGUUGUUCAUGUCCGCAUAAAACGCCAUUCAAUGGGUGAUAUGCCUAACUCGGAUGAGGAUGUUUCAAAAUGGUGCAAAGAUAUAUUUGUAGCAAAGGACGCGUUAUUGGACAAACAUAUAGCAACUGGUACUUUUGAUGAGGAAAUUAUACCAAUUGGUCGUCCAGUGAAAUCUUUGAUGGUGGUCCUGUCUUGGUCAUGUUUCCUCCUAUAUGGUGCUCAUAGAUUCUUACAGUGGACCCAGCUCUUGUCAACAUGGAAAGGAGUGAUCCUCUUUGCUUCUGGAUUGGCAAUGGUGACUGCCGUUAUGCAUGUAUUCAUCAUGUUCUCGCAGGCCGAGCGCUCAAGCUCCGCUAAAGCAGCAAGGGACCGAGUGAAGAAGGAUUGA